rnacentral:rRNA from 1 species
UACGUAGGUGGCUAGCGUUGUCCGGAUUUACUGGGCGUAAAGCGCACGUAGGCGUCCGUUAAGUCGGAUGUGAAAGCCCCCGCUCAACCGGGAAGUGCAUCCGAAACUGGCAGGCUAGAGUACGAAAGAGGUCGCGGAAUUCCCGGUGUAGAGGUGAAAUGCGCAGAUAUCAGGAGGAACACCAGUGGCGAAGGCGGUGCUCUGGGCCGGAACUGACGCUGAGGAGCGAAGCGUGGGAGCAAACAG